UACGUAGGGUGCGAGCGUUUAAUCGGAAUUACUGGGCGUAAAGCGUGCGCAGCGGCGCCGCAAGUCAGGCGUGAAACUCCCCGAGCUUAACUUGGGAAUGGCGCUUGAAACUACGGUGCUGGAGUGUGGCAGAGGGAGGUGGAAUUCCGACGUGUAGCGGUGAAAUGCGUAGAGAUGUGGAGGAACACCGAUGGCGAAGGCAGCCUCCUGGGCCAACACUGACGCUCAUGCACGAAAGCGUGGGGAGCAAACAGG
rnacentral:rRNA from 1 species